rfam:Culex pipiens quinquefasciatus supercont3.392 genomic scaffold, whole genome shotgun sequence.
CAAACGGUCCUUUUCAGGACCACCAAAAGUCUCACCAAAGAGUUUG